UUCUAAGGUUUUGUGCCUCUUUCAGGGAA
rnacentral:piRNA from 1 species